GCAAACUUGGUCAUUUAGAGGAAGUAAAAGUUGUAACAAGGUUUCCGUAGGUGAACCUGCGGAAGGAUCAUUAACAAAUCCAUAUGCGUGAGAGGGGCGACCCUCUUGCGAAUAUUAUACCGCCGGUCGCGAGACUGGUUGGAAAUAAAUGCGUGAUGUGUUGACAGUGUGUGAGUGAUUUAAUUAUUGACAACUUUUAACAAUGGAUCUCUAGGCUCUUGCAUCGAUGAAGAACGCAGC
rnacentral:misc_RNA from 1 species